UGGCGGCAUGCCUUACACAUGCAAGUCGAACGGCAGCGCGGGGCAACCUGGCGGCGAGUGGCGAACGGGUGAGUAAUAUAUCGGAACGUGCCCUGGAGUGGGGGAUAACGUAGCGAAAGUUACGCUAAUACCGCAUACGAUCCAAGGAUGAAAGCAGGGGACCGCAAGGCCUUGUGCUCCUGGAGCGGCCGAUAUCUGAUUAGCUAGUUGGUAGGGUAAAGGCCUACCAAGGCAUCGAUCAGUAGCUGGUCUGAGAGGACGACCAGCCACACUGGAACUGAGACACGGUCCAGACUCCUACGGGAGGCAGCAGUGGGGAAUUUUGGACAAUGGGCGCAAGCCUGAUCCAGCCAUGCCGCGUGAGUGAUGAAGGCCUUAGGGUUGUAAAGCUCUUUUGGCAGGGACGAUAAUGACUGUACCUGCAGAAUAAGCCCCGGCCAACUUCGUGCCAGCAGCCGCGGUAAUACGAAGGGGGCUAGCGUUGCUCGGAAUCACUGGGCGUAAAGCGCACGUAGGCGGGUCGUUAAGUCGGGGGUGAAAUCCUGGAGCUCAACUCCAGAACUGCCUUCGAUACUGGCGAUCUUUGAGUCCGGGAGAGAUGGGUGGAACUACGAGUGUAGAGGUGAAAUUCGUAGAUAUUCGCAAGAACACCAGUGGCGAAGGCGGCUCACUGGCCCGG
rnacentral:rRNA from 1 species